rnacentral:lncRNA from 1 species
AUAUUAGGUCAUUCCCUAAUAUUCGCAUCUUUAAGAUUUUAUCACGCAUUGUAUUUGUUAUAAACUUUGUGAGUAUUCCAGAGUCAGUCCAAGUACUAGAGCAGUAAUAUUGAUAUUUUAAUUUCUAAUAUAAAGCAUGAGGAUCCAUUUCAUUAUAUUAGACAUCUGGAGUUGAGAAGCAGAAAUUUCAAUUUAUUUUGUACACACAAGAUCUAAUGAACCAUGCUUUGUCAAAGGCAGUACAAUACAAAUUAGGCCCUCUUUAUUUAGACUUAUAAGCUAACUUAUAAGACGAAAAGUCUAAGCCUAAACAAAAAAGCAGCUUUUUCAUUUGAGUUUUUUAAAGCCAUAAGCCACUCUAACACUAUUAAGGCCCUCUUUGUUUAGGCUUAUAAGCCAACUUAUAAAUCAAAGAGUCUAAGCCUAAACAAACAAGCAGCUUUUCCGUUUGGCUUUUUUGAAGCCACAAGCUACUCUAACACUAUUAAGCCAAAAGCUAGAUUGGAGAAGCUUUUUUGGCUUAUGUGAGGUAGAUGUAUGACUCAACCACUAAACUUAAGACAUUAAAUCCAUUGGCUUAUAAAUCAUAUAAGCCAAUAAGCUGACUUAAAAGUCUAGGCCAAUAAGCCUAAGCCUAAACAAAGAGGGCUAAGCCAAAAGCUAGGUUGGAGAAGCUUUAUUGACUUAAAUGAGGUAGAUGUAUGACUCCACCACCAAACUUAGGACAUUAAAUCCACCAACUUAUAAAUCAUAUAAGCCAAUAAGUUGUCUUAAAAGUAAGCCAAUAAGUCUAAGCCUAAACAAAGAGAGCCUUAAACAGUAUCCAAUAAGCUCAACUUUACUCCCGUAUAUAUAGACAUAGUCCGAUCGCCAAAAUGACAACCUGCAUAGUUUAUCUUGGUGUAAGUGGAGGUUCUCUAUGCCAAAAGAAAUAUGCAAAGAUAGCUCAAAGAGAACGCAACAAACUUUUUUUUAAGUACAGCAAACCAUACCACCAAGAGUCAAAUGUAUCUCAGACACAACACCAAAUCCACCAGAAUAGUAUGAGCAUAUAAAGGUUUGAUCAUCCUUCUACUAUCAUAAACCUAUUAUUCACUCUAGCAGCUCUGCUCCAGAAAAUUAGGCAAGAAUACCGGAUUGUAAAAGCACAAGAAUGAAAAAAUAAAAAAGAAUAGAAUGUCAUGUCGAUUGUAUUCUUCCUAGAUUAGGAGUACAAUAAAAUUUUGAAACUGUUGUUUAGAUGAGACACAGGAACAAGAAAUUUUAAGACAUGGGAAUCAGAAAACAUGAGGUGCGACAUUGAGACCCCAUGCUUGUUUCCUGCAGAAGUUCCUAUAUUAAAAAAAUGCACAUAUACUUCGUAUGAAUUUCAGAUGAAUUGGUAGGGGCAACUCUUUGUUACAAAGGGUUUCAUACAGAAUUUUUUCCAUAUAAGAUUGAAUUCCUGAAACAAUUUUACAUUUCUCCUUUAUCGAGAAAAAAACCUUCUUUGUCUAUGAUCUGAACUACUGCUUCAGUUACUUUUGCUCUCCAGCAGUUUGAGAGGCAAAGGUACUCAACAAGAAUAUACCAGUUUCGGGGAACUCUAUAACAACCUCAUCUUUUCGCUUAUGUUUAUACUUAUCAGCAAAAAUUUAAAUUUUCAACUAAAUUUGGAGUUGAUUUUGGGGUUUUCUUAUCAAGUUUAUUUUCAGCCUUUGCUAUUAGAUCGCUAAGAAUACGCAUAUAAAAUUUUUAUUUUUCGUUUACAAAUAUAUCGAAAUGAUGGGGCCAUAAAUUAUUACUUAGCUUUCCAAAUGACCCUAUUAUAGCCAAUUUCUAAUGAACUCUUUUCUUUAAGAGACAUUAACAUUGUCUAGUGCAGUUCCGACCUCUGCUGCCAACAAAAGGUCCACAUAACAGUUUUUUUUUUUAGAAAAUAGGAUAAUCCCGACCUCUACAUAGUCCAUAACAGUAUAACACACUCGCUGGUGUGUACCUUGAAUAGUGUACAAAAUAGUUGUUGAAAAGAUGUACUUGUCUUAGAAAUCACCAAUGCAACACAUAUACUAUUACCAUCCUAAAACUUUAACAUUUUUUUAGUUGCACAUGUGGUAGCAGGCAAAUUAAAUCUUGAUAUGUACUCCAUGUGAGCACAUAACUGAUCACCAUCCAAUGGCUGAUUGGCUGGUGAAUGAUUGUGUUGUGAGCUAUACCCAAUUCACCUCGCUGCAUGCAUAUAGAGCCCUGUUAUAUAGUAGGCCAAGGGUCCAUGUCUAUAAGAGUAUGGCAACAGCGCCCAACUGAUCGAAUGUAUAGAAUUCCAUGAGCUACCAAAUCACAAAACAUGAUGGGGUCAGGAAUAGCGCGCACCGAUAGGAAUAGGAGGCAUUAUGGACUCAAGUCAUCGAAAUCGAAAAGAUUUAAUAUGACAAGUGAUGUGGAUAAGGCCUCUGCAUUAAUUCAGUGUUUGUUCUCACUGCUACAUAACAUGGCAUAGGUGCCGGUUUGCAAGGGUUCAUAGGUGCCAGAUUUUCACUCAUCACCAAUUAGUCGGCCCCAAUAGAAGAAACCAACACCUAUACGAAAAGUACAACCAACACCUAUAUAUUCGCACAAGUAAACCAAAAAGAGCUGGCUCGAAUUGAGCCGAACUCAAACGCCGUCACCGCCCCACAUCGAGUUGCUCUCGACAUCCCAAAUCAAAUUGAAAUCCCAAAUCCCCACAUCAAAUUGACAUCACAGAUCGAAUGAACAUACUCAACAACAAAAUCAUCCACAAAUUCACAAAAAACAUCUACAAAAAAUCUACAAUAGAGAUUGGGAAGGGGAGGGCGAGGGGCUGGCCACCAGGCUUCUCUGCUCUACCUUCUUUCUCACCGGAGGGGAGGGUCGGGUGCCGCUGUCGCCUCCCCUCGGGCGUCGCCGCCUGCCACAUCCCCUACAGCCAGAUACGGUGGAGGGGAGGGCGCUGUCGCCGCCCGCUGUUCCCGGGCACUGCUUGCAUAUGGAUCGGAGAGGAAGAGGACGGACGGAGGAGGAGGAGGAGGAGGAGGAGGAGGAAAGGAGAGGAUAAGUUCGCCGGCAGGGAGAGGAGGGCCGCGGAGACGAGUGGAGAGGGGGCUGGAGAGGACGAAGGGGAGGGAACCAGGGAAGGGGCUAGAGGGGAGGGAGGAGGAGGGCGCAG